UACGUAGGGUGCGAGCGUUAAUCGGAAUUACUGGGCGUAAAGGGCUCGUAGGUGGCCAACUAAGUCAGACGUGAAAUCCCUCAGCUUAACUGGGGAACUGCGUCUGAUACUGGAUGGCUUGAGUUUGGGAGAGGGAUGCGGAAUUCCAGGUGUAGCGGUGAAAUGCGUAGAUAUCGGGAGGAACACCAGUGGCGAAGGCGACUUUCUGGCCUGUUCUUGACGCUGAGGCGCGAAAGCUAGGGGAGCAAACGGG
rnacentral:rRNA from 1 species